GGAAGUUUGUUUAGAAAAUCAUCGUGCAUCAGACAAGAUAGAGGUUAACAACUGCCCUUUUUUUGACUGAUUUGUAGAAGGGUAUUCAAUAUUUUAGCAAUAUAAAACGCCAUUAAGGGAGUAACAAUACACCGUGUCACGAAUUUUGACCGGAAAAGAUGGAAAUGAAAAUAUAAAUAAGCAACGGACGGCAUUCGAUGGAACAAUUUUGUGGAUAUAUCGAGUAAACUAAUAGAAAUCCUCUUUAUAAUUUAACAUAAAGAUGCAUUCUUGUCAAACCUUCGUUCUGUGUUUAGUUGCUGGUGUUUUUAUGGCUAUUAUGUUGACGAAUGGUUUUGGAUUUGAUAAUCGUAGAAAGUUAACUAGAUUUUGUUAUAAUUCACCUCAACAGAGUGGUUUGCAA